UAAAGCUUUCGGGCCCAUACCCCGAACAUGUUGGUUAAACCCCCUCCUUUACUA
rnacentral:tRNA from 5 species